AUUCUUAACUUACCUUUGCCUUUUUUUGUGUGGUCUAGUGAGACUCAAUUUUUUGUUACUCCCCGUUUAUUUAUAAUUUACUUUACUGAAAAGAAAAUUGCAUUAUAACUUAAUCUUUAUUAAUAGGGUUGCAGCUACAGAAAUAUGGAAAAAACAAAUUUUCAAAAUUGCAAGGCUCAGGUUAAAAGAAAUCUUAUCAAGUCCUUACUUCGUUUUGGAUAACUUUGAGUUAAAUUUUUUUUAAUAAUUGUAUUGGGUUGGAUUGAGAUUUGUUGGUCUUGUUCUAUUUCGAUGUUAUUUAAUGACUGCUGGGGAGUUUGUGACUUGUUGUAUGUUUAUAUAGAAAAUAUGGUGGUCUUCUAGAGUAAUACUAUUUAGUAUAGCUUCUAAAGUGUAUCCAGGUGACCAGUUUAGCCUUCAUGAACAUGUAAAGUUUAGAAAUUUGUGGAAGGUCUUGUUUUAUUCUGACACUUAAUGUUAUGUUUCAGUUAAUUCAUUAUUGCUAGUAUUAUGCCA